GGGGAAUUUUCCGCAAUGGGCGAAAGCCUGACGGAGCAAUACCGCGUGAGGGAGGAAGGCUCUUGGGUCGUAAACUCCUUUUCUCAGGGAAGAAUAUAUGACGGUACCUGAGGAAUAAGCAUCGGNNNNCUCCGUGCCAGCAGCCGCGGUAACACGGNNNAUGCAAGCGUUAUCCGGAAUUAUUGGGCGUAAAGUGNNNUNNNNNGGCUGGCCCAGUCUGCUGUGAAAGUCUGGGGCUUAACCCUAGAAAUGCGGCAGAAACUAGCAAGCUAGAGUACGGUAGGGGCAGGGGGAAUUCCCGGUGUAGCGGUGAAAUGCAUAGAGAUCGGGAAGAACACCAAUGGCGAAAGCACCCUGCUGGGCCGAUACUGACACUGAAAGACGAGAGCUAGGGGAGCGAAUGGGAUUAGAUACCCCAGUAGUC
rnacentral:rRNA from 1 species